CGCGACCCCAGGUCAGGCGGGGCUACCCGCUGAGUUUAAGCAUAUCAAUAAGCGGAGGAAAAGAAACUAACGAGGAUUCCCCUAGUAACGGCGAGCGACCGGGGAAUUCUAA
rnacentral:rRNA from 1 species